CCGGGUGGUUAUUGCGAGUGGUCCCCACCCGAUCCCAUUCCGAACUCGGUCGUUAAGCCACUCAGCGCCGAUGGUACUUUGUCUUAAGGCACGGGAGAGUAGGUCACCGCCCGGU
rnacentral:rRNA from 1 species